rnacentral:rRNA from 1 species
GACGAACGCUGGCGGCGUGCCUAAUACAUGCAAGUAGAACGCUGAAGGAGGAGCUUGCUCUUCUGGAUGAGUUGCGAACGGGUGAGUAACGCGUAGGUAACCUGCCUGGUAGCGGGGGAUAACUAUUGGAAACGAUAGCUAAUACCGCAUAACAGUAGAUGUUGCAUGACAUUUGCUUAAAAGGUGCAAUUGCACCACUACCAGAUGGACCUGCGUUGUAUUAGCUAGUUGGUGGGGUAACGGCUCACCAAGGCGACGAUACAUAGCCGACCUGAGAGGGUGAUCGGCCACACUGGGACUGAGACACGGCCCAGACUCCUACGGGAGGCAGCAGUAGGGAAUCUUCGGCAAUGGACGGAAGUCUGACCGAGCAACGCCGCGUGAGUGAAGAAGGUUUUCGGAUCGUAAAGCUCUGUUGUAAGAGAAGAACGAGUGUGAGAGUGGAAAGUUCACACUGUGACGGUAUCUUACCAGAAAAGGACGGCUAACUACGU